AACGAACGCUGGCGGCGUGCCUAAUACAUGCAAGUCGAGCGGACAGAAGGGAGCUUGCUCCCGGAAGUUAGCGGCGGACGGGUGAGUAACACGUGGGCAACCUACCCUGUAGAUCGGGAUAACAUCGAGAAAUCGGUGCUAAUACCGGAUAAUCAUUUGAAGUGCAUGCUUCGAAUGUAAAAGAUGGCUCCGGCUAUCACUACGGGAUGGGCCCGCGGCGCAUUAGCUAGUUGGUAAGGUAAUGGCAUACCAAGGCAACGAUGCGUAGCCGACCUGAGAGGGUGAUCGGCCACACUGGGACUGAGACACGGCCCAGACUCCUACGGGAGGCAGCAGUAGGGAAGCUUCCGCAAUGGACGAAAGUCCGACGGAGCAACGCCGCGUGAGUGAUGAAGGUUUUCGGAUCGUAAAGCUCUGUUGUUAGGGAAGAACAAGUGCCGUUUGAAUAAGGCGGCACCUUGACGGUACCUAACCAGAAAGCCACGGCUAACUACGUGCCAGCCGCCGCCGUAACAC
rnacentral:rRNA from 1 species